GAAAACUGGCAGUUACAGGUCUCACCCAGCUCCCGCACAGCCCAAAGGGCUGUUCUCACUCCCACCGUGGCCCUCCCUGAAACAGCACCAAGUUUGUUUCCAGACAGCGGCUGAGCAGGGCUGAGAGCUUUCCUCAGUCUACCAGCCUUCCAGCUGAUAAAGCAAGCAGGGCUUCCAGGUUUCAUGUCUCCCUGCCUGCCACAGCUUCUGUGCUUUGUCUGCACUCCCAAUUCACCCCUUCCUCUGGGUUCUGUCCAGGAAACUUCAUGCUUGGUCAAAAUUGUUACAAAGUUCAGCUGGAAGUUUCCUUCUCCCUGUGUUUUUUUCCCAAUUCCUCUGGCAGCCCUCCCCAAGGACUCCUGUGAGACAAAGUCAGAAAUGACUUCCCUGGGGACUGAGAGAGACAACAGGGCUCUUCUCGAUGCUUCUUCUACCCCUGUAUUUUGCUCAGCUCUCUGAAGUUAUCUCAGUUCCAGCAGUCCCCGACGGGCUUUUCUGUUUCCUACCGCGUUGUGAAGGAGAUUCUUGCUGCUUCUUCGCUUUCUGCCAUGAUUGCAAGUUUCCUCCGGCCUCCCCAGCCAUGUGGAACUGAGGCCUGCAUUAUUGUUGUCGAGUUCAAAAUCAUCUUUCAAAAUCAAGAAUUGACAUCAGUUCAUUACCCACGGCAAAAGGCUUCUAAAAAGCCUAUGCAGAAUUUUUGAAGCAUGGUCUGUGAAUAUGAUGGAAUAUCACUCUCAUGAAUAGCUCCAACUCCUAAAAUGAUUGCAUUUUGUUCUGUGGAAUGUGUGGCCCAUCAAAACCAGGAUCCCUGUUUCUCCAACUCUUCUAAAGGUGAUCUUCAUCACAAAUGGCAUCAACAGAAAACACCACUUGAAACAUAGGGGAAAAAGUGGCCCCACUUCCUUCAUUGGCUAUUUUCCUUUUUUUGUUGUUGGAUCCUUUAUGCAAUAAAAUAUAUUGUAAAAGUUAUAUCUAUUAACUCUG
rnacentral:lncRNA from 1 species